rnacentral:rRNA from 1 species
AGCAGUAUCCUGAGUACGGCGGGACACGUGAAAUCCCGUCGGAAUCUGGGAGGACCAUCUCCCAACCCUAAAUACUCCCUAGUGACCGAUAGUGAACCAGUACCGUGAGGGAAAGGUGAAAAGCACCCCGGGAGGGGAGUGAAAUAGAACCUGAAACCGUGUGCCUACAACAAGUUCGAGCCCGUUAAUGGGUGAGAGCGUGCCUUUUGUAGAAUGAACCGGCGAGUUACGUUAUGAUGCGAGGUUAAGUUGAAGAGACGGAGCCGUAGGGAAACCGAGUCUGAAUAGGGCGCCUUAGUAUCAUGACGUAGACCCGAAACCAUGUGACCUACCCAUGAGCAGGUUGAAGGUGCGGUAAGACGCACUGGAGGACCGAACCAGGGCACGUUGAAAAGUGCUUGGAUGACUUGUGGGUAGCGGAGAAAUUCCAAACGAACUUGGAGAUAGCUGGUUCUCUCCGAAAUAGCUUUAGGGCUAGCGUCGACAUUAGAGAUUCUUGGAGGUAGAGCACUGUUUGGGUGAGGGGUCCAUCCCGGAUUACCAAUCUCAGAUAAACUCCGAAUGCCAAUGAAUUAUGGUCGGCAGUCAGACUGCGAGUGCUAAGAUCCGUAGUCGAAAGGGAAACAGCCCAGACCACCAGCUAAGGUCCCAAAAUAAUUGUUAAGUGGAAAAGGAUGUGGGGUUGCACAGACAACUAGGAUGUUAGCUUAGAAGCAGCUAUUCAUUCAAAGAGUGCGUAAUAGCUCACUAGUCGAGUGACCCUGCGCCGAAAAUGUACCGGGGCUAAAACAAUUUACCGAAGCUGUGGAUACCUUUAUAGGUAUGGUAGGAGAGCGUUCUAUGUGUGAUGAAGGUAUACCGUGAGGAGUGCUGGAACGCAUAGAAGUGAGAAUGCCGGUAUGAGUAGCGAAAGACAGGUGAGAAUCCUGUCCACCGUAAGACUAAGGUUUCCAGGGGAAGGCUCGUCCGCCCUGGGUUAGUCGGGACCUAAGGAGAGACCGAAAGGUGUAUCCGAUGGACAACAGGUUGAUAUUCCUGUACUAGAGUAUGUAGUGAUGGAGGGACGCAGUAGGCUAACUAAAGCAGACGAUUGGAAGAGUCUGUCUAAGCAGUGAGGUGUGAAUUGAGUCAAAUGCUUAAUUCUAUAACAUUGAGCUGUGAUGGGGAGCGAAGUUUAGUAGCGAAGUUAGUGACGUCACACUGCCAAGAAAAGCUUCUAGCGUUUAAACAUACUCUACCCGUACCGCAAACCGACACAGGUAGUCGAGGCGAGUAGCCUCAGGUGAGCGAGAGAACUCUCGUUAAGGAACUCGGCAAAAUGACCCCGUAACUUCGGGAGAAGGGGUGCUGACUUUAAGUCAGCCGCAGUGAAUAGGCCCAAGCAACUGUUUAUCAAAAACACAGCUCUCUGCUAAAUCGUAAGAUGAUGUAUAGGGGGUGACGCCUGCCCGGUGCUGGAAGGUUAAGAGGAGUGCUUAGCGUAAGCGAAGGUAUGAAUUGAAGCCCCAGUAAACGGCGGCCGUAACUAUAACGGUCCUAAGGUAGCGAAAUUCCUUGUCGGGUAAGUUCCGACCCGCACGAAAGGCGUAAUGAUUUGGGCACUGUCUCAACGAGAGACUCGGUGAAAUUUUAGUACCUGUGAAGAUGCAGGUUACCCGCGACAGGACGGAAAGACCCCAUGGAGCUUUACUGCAGUUUGAUAUUGAGUGUCUGUACCACAUGUACAGGAUAGGUAGGAGUCUAAGAGAUCGGGACGCCAGUUUCGAAGGAGACGCUGUUGGGAUACUACCCUUGUGUUAUGGCCACUCUAACCCAGAUAGGUGAUCCCUAUCGGAGACAGUGUCUGACGGGCAGUUUGACUGGGGCGGUCGCCUCCUAAAAGGUAACGGAGGCGCCCAAAGGUUCCCUCAGAAUGGUUGGAAAUCAUUCGCAGAGUGUAAAGGUAUAAGGGAGCUUGACUGCGAGAGCUACAACUCGAGCAGGGACGAAAGUCGGGCUUAGUGAUCCGGUGGUUCCGUAUGGAAGGGCCAUCGCUCAACGGAUAAAAGCUACCCUGGGGAUAACAGGCUUAUCUCCCCCAAGAGUUCACAUCGACGGGGAGGUUUGGCACCUCGAUGUCGGCUCGUCGCAUCCUGGGGCUGUAGUCGGUCCCAAGGGUUGGGCUGUUCGCCCAUUAAAGCGGCACGCGAGCUGGGUUCAGAACGUCGUGAGACAGUUCGGUCCCUAUCCGUCGCGGGCGUAGGAAAUUUGAGAGGAUCUGCUCCUAGUACGAGAGGACCAGAGUGGACUUACCGCUGGUGUACCAGUUGUCUUGCCAAAGGCAUCGCUGGGUAGCUAUGUAGGGAAGGGAUAAACGCUGAAAGCAUCUAAGUGUGAAACCCACCUCAAGAUGAGAUUUCCCAUGAUUAUAUAUCAGUAAGAGCCCUGAGAGAUGAUCAGGUAGAUAGGUUAGAAGUGGAAGUGUGGCGACACAUGUAGCGGACUAAUACUAAUAGCUCGAGGACUUAUCCAA